UCAGAGGCCAUGGCUCACGGGCCCAGCCGCUCCGCGGCAUGUGGGAUCUUCCCGGACCGGGGCACGAACCCAUGUCCCCUGCAUCGGCAGGUGGACUCUCAACCACUGCGCCACCAGGGAAGCCCAGUAAUGCUGAACUGUUACAACUAUUGACACUCUUCAAAAGGUUCCGCUCUGAACCCCGUCCAGGCACUGCAGGCUCCAAUGGACAUCUUCAAAUCCAGAGAAUGGAGGGGCAAGAGCUUCCCCUGUGUGAUGCCAAAACCAACAAAGCCCCAUGGAUCAGGUGAAAAGCGCCAGAGGCUCUUCUGCUGCAUUACAAACAGACUGCAAACACACACGUGUACAUUAUUUACCUGGCUUGCCACAUCUCUUCAUUGGCCACAGAUUCCCAGGAAGAUGGAGCAAACCUGCAGUUACAAGAAAACAGUAACAUGUUUCUGCUACUACCUUUACUGCUGUGGACAUGUAAUUCUUGUUUUAUAAUCUUACAAGGCAAAUAAAAUAGGCUGCAUCCUGAAGUACUGAU